rnacentral:rRNA from 1 species
UACGUAGGGGGGCAAGCGUUGUCCGGAUUUAUUGGGCGUAAAGAGCGUGUAGGCGGCCUGAAAGGUCAGCUGUGAAAACUCGAGGCUCAACCUCGAGACGUCGGUUGAAACCAUCUGGCUAGAGUCCGGAAGAGGAGAGUGGAAUUCCCGGUGUAGCGGUGAAAUGCGCAGAUAUCGGGAAGAACACCCGUGGCGAAGGCGGCUCUCUGGGCAGUAACUGACGCGUGAGGAGCGAAAAGCGUGGGGGAGCGAACAGG